rnacentral:rRNA from 1 species
GAUGGACGCUGGCGGUGUGCCUAAUACAUGCAAGUCGAGCGAACAGACGAGGAGCUUACUCCUCUGACGUUAGCGGCGGACGGGUGAGUAACACGUGGAUAACCUACCUAUAAGACUGGGAUAACUUCGGGAAACCGGAGCUAAUACCGGAUAACAUGUUGAACCGCAUGGUUCAACAGUGAAAGACGGUCUUGCUGUCACUUAUAGAUGGAUCCGCGUCGCAUUAGCUAGUUGGUAAGGUAACGGCUUACCAAGGCAACGAUGCGUAGCCGACCUGAGAGGGUGAUCGGCCACACUGGAACUGAGACACGGUCCAGACUCCUACGGGAGGCAGCAGUAGGGAAUCUUCCGCAAUGGGCGAAAGCCUGACGGAGCAACGCCGCGUGAGUGAAGAAGGUCUUCGGACCGUAAAACUCUGUUAUUAGGGAAGAACAAAUGUGUAAGUAACUAUGCACGUCUUGACGGUACCUAAUCAGAAAGCCACGGCUAACUACGUG